UGGGGAAUAUUGGACAAUGGGGGGAACCCUGAUCCAGCCAUGCCGCGUGUGUGAAGAAGGCCUUAUGGUUGUAAAGCACUUUAAGCGAGGAGGAGGGUACUGGUAUUAAUACUACCAGCUACUGGACGUUACUCGCAGAAUAAGCACCGGCUAACUCUGUUCCAGCAGCCGCGGUAAUACAGAGGGUUCGAGCGUUAAUCGGAUUUACUGGGCGUAAAGCGUGCGUAGGCGGCUAAUUGAGUCGGAUGUGAAAUCCCCGAGCUUAACUUGGGAAUUGCAUUCGAUACUGGUUAGCUAGAGUGUGGGAGAGGAUGGUAGAAUUCCAGGUGUAGCGGUGAAAUGCGUAGAGAUCUGGAGGAAUACCGAUGGCGAAGGCAGCCAUCUGGCCUAACACUGACGCUGAGGUACGAAAGCAUGGGGAGCAAACAGG
rnacentral:rRNA from 1 species